AUUGAACGCUGGCGGCAGGCUUAACACAUGCAAGUCGAACGAGCGGCGGACGGGUGAGUAAUGUCUGGGAAUCUGCCUUAUGGAGGGGGAUAACUACUGGAAACUGUCGCUAAUACCGCAUACCAUAAGAUGUGCCCAGGUGGGAUUAGGUAGUUGGUGGGGUAAUGGCCUACCAAGGCGACGAUCCCUAGCUGGUCUGAGAGGAUGACCAGCCACACUGGAACUGAGACACGGCCCAGACUCCUACGGGAGGCAGCAGUGGGGAAUAUUGCGCAAUGGGGGCAAGCCUGAUGCAGCCAUGCCGCGUGUAUGAAGAAGGCCUUCGGGUUGUAAAGUUCUUUCAGUGACGAGGCGUUACUCACAGAAGAAGCACCGGCUAACUCCGUGCCAGCAGCCGCGGUAAUUC
rnacentral:rRNA from 1 species